AUGGUUCGAGAGGAGGUAGCAGGAUCCACUCAAACACUACAGUGGAAGUGUGUUGAAUCAAGAGUAGAUAGUAAGCGCCUUUAUUAUGGUCGUUUCAUUCUGUCCCCGCUUAGAAAAGGUCAAGCAGACACCGUCGAUAUUGCCUUGCGAAGAGCUUUACUUGGAGAAAUAGAAGGAACAUGUAUCACACGUGCAAAAUUUGGGAGCGUGCCGCACGAGUAUUCUACAAUAGCAGGUAUUGAAGAAUCCGUACAAGAAAUUUUAUUCCGUGAUGACUCGUAUGCUUGCGACAAUAAUGACAAAUUUUUUUGA
rnacentral:rRNA from 1 species